rnacentral:rRNA from 1 species
GCUCUUUCAGACGGAAAGAAAUCUCCUGGGCUAAUACCCCGGGAGGAUGACGGUACCGUAAGAAGAAGCACCGGCUAACUACGUGCCAGCAGCCGCGGUAAUA